UACAGAGGUCUCAACCGUUGUUCGGAUUCAUUGGGCGUAAAGGGUGCGUAGGCGGUCGCGUAAGUCAGGUGUGAAAUCUCAGGGCUCAACCCUGAAACUGCACUUGAUACUGCGUGGCUCGGGUACUGGAGAGGAGACUGGAAUUUACGGUGUAGCAGUGAAAUGCGUAGAUAUCGUAAGGAAGACCAGUGGCGAAGGCGAGUCUCUGGACAGUUACCGACGCUGAGGCACGAAGGUCAGGGGAGCAAACGGG
rnacentral:rRNA from 2 species